rnacentral:rRNA from 1 species
UACAGAGGUCUCAAGCGUUGUUCGGAUUCAUUGGGCGUAAAGGGUGCGUAGGUGGCGCCGUAAGUGGGGUGUGAAAUUUCGGAGCUUAACUCCGAAACUGCAUUCCAUACUGCGGUGCUUGAGGACUGGAGAGGAGACUGGAAUUCAUGGUGUAGCAGUGAAAUGCGUAGAGAUCAUGAGGAAGACCAGUUGGCGAAGGCGGGUCUCUGGACAGUUCCUGACACUGAGGCACGAAGGCCAGGGGAGCAAACGGG